CCGCCCGUAGCUCAGUUGGCAGAGCAGCGCGCUCUUAACGCGAGGGUCGCAGGUUCGAAUCCUGCCGGGCGGA
rnacentral:tRNA from 1 species